AUCAUAGAGCAACAUUAUAUUCAGGAAUGAACAGUCAUCAACCACCUCAACACAGCUGAAAGAGAAUCCAGGCCAAGCUGGCUAAGAGCCUUAACACGGCAAAGAAGAGUAAAUAGCUCUACUUCUGAUAAUUCAAUCACUCUAGGGAAGAGAAAACACUAAAAGUCUUUAUUCAGGAAGCUCAAUCUUUCAAGGGGAGAGACAUCCAGUGUUAAUGGAACUUUAGUUCUUGCAAGAACAAAGAGAUGCGGAUGUUUGAUAUUAACGCUCAUUUGAAGUAGCUCAUGCCAGUGUUGGAUGACCCAUAUGUGGGGUUUCUUUGCUUCAUUACUCUCCCAUAGGAAAAUGUAAGGAAAGAACAAGAUGGAUCAACAAUUCCAAACAGUGGCUUACUGUCAGAUGUCCAAUGGAAUCUUUUAACAAGUUGAAAUGAAGGAAACCAAUUUUGUGCUACAUUGUUCUAGGUUUUGAGUAUCCUCCAGAUCAGUGGUUCUCAAAAGUAUGGUUUAAAGAAUCCUGGGAAUCUCUGAAACCCUUUGAGAGAGUCUACAAAUUCAA